rnacentral:rRNA from 1 species
CCUACGGGAGGCAGCAGUGAGGAAUAUUGGUCAAUGGACGGAAGUCUGAACCAGCGAUGCCGCGUGCAUGAAGACGGCUCUAUGAGUUGUAAACUGCUUUUAUAUGGGAAUAAAACGUUCCACGUGUGGGAUUUUGUAUGUACCAUAUGAAUAAGGAUCGGCUAACUCCGUGCCAGCAGCCGCGGUAAUACGGAGUAUCCGAGCGUUAUCCGGAUUUAUGGGGUUUAAAGGGAGCGUAGGUGGAUUGGUAAGUCAGUUGUGAAAGUUUGCGGCUCAACCGUAAAAUUGCAGUUGAAACUGGAAGUCUUGAGUACAGUAGAGGUGAGCGGAAUUCGUGGUGUAGCGGUGAAAUGCUUAGAUAUCACGAAGAACUCCGAUUGCGAAGGCAGUUCACUGGACUGCAACUGACACUGAGGCUCGAAAGUGUGGGUAUCAAACAGGAUUAGAUACCCCUGUAGUC